UACGCUCGAUCAUAUUCCUUGGGAAGCAAGUUCAUGAAAAAAGACAAUCAGAAUGAACAAUGCAACCGCAUACUUCAUCGUUUUUGCCCUCUUCAUUAUGAGCUCUCGUUGGCAGCCUUCGAGCAAGGUCGAAGCGGGAAGGAUUAUAUUCGGCCCAAAAAAUUGCUGGAGAGGAACUUGCCCCCACGACUGUCAUCCACCUUGUGAGUGCCCCAGCCCUUUUGAGUGGUUUUUUGGAAUCAGGAAUUGUCGUUGAUGGAAUUCCUCUAUAAGCAGUAGUUUUUUUUUAUGAAUAAAUGUUG